AAACCUGAAGGUUACUCACCGUUUGCAAAGAGUGAGAAUCGCGUAGGCGUUUAGUGUAAAUUACAAUUUAACUUUUGAGAUUUAGUAAAAUCUAUAUAUUAAUUUUUCACUACACCACAUUUAUUGUAUUGGGACAUAUAAUUUUAUCUAAAAAAUUAAAUUAUUUGUCUUUGUAUCUUUUUAGAGAAAUAUAAAUAUUUAUCUCAUUUACUAUUUUUCUUAAAUAUAAUUAAAGACAAAUACAAAUACAAAUUUGUAUUCGGCAUUAAUUAAACUUUUAAAAAUAAAUAUAUUUAUCUAUAAAAAUUAGCCAUAAAGAUAACAAAUUUGUUCUCUUUGUUCUCUUUACACUUAUAUAGCUAGGUCACCACUUAAAACCCUUGCCACAUGUCACCUUCUGAUUGGUUCUAGGU
rnacentral:misc_RNA from 1 species